AGCCUCAGUGCGGCAGUGAUUGUUGUGUGGCGCACGCGUGUCUGAUUCUUUCCUUUCUCGAACACAUCAUAAGAACAGAACUGGUCCGAAGUCUGUUUCCACCGGCGCAAGAGAAUCCCAAGAUUUCUAAUAGUUCAUCAAACGAAUGUAAAAGAUGAAGUGUGAAAACAGUCCCGCUGUGACCGUCCCGCGUUAGGAACCCCGUUCAGACACGAGGCCAUAGUGGCGUAGUCGUGUUGUCGCAGUGGCGUUUCUGCCAUUGUUAUUGGGGAGAGCCUUGCCGUUCAAUUUUGUCCAGAGCUCCACAAAUGAGUCGAGAUGCAGCGUGAGGCAGGACAAGAUACCUGUUCCCUGGCGGCAGCAACAACACCCUUGUCAAGUGUGAACAUUUCCUGCCAUGACACAUCUGAUGGCUUCGUAGCAAGGAAAGUCAGAUGUUUAUACAAAACCAAUACAUUUUUAAACGUGGAAUAAUAUUGUAAAGCUGUACACACUCACGCAGGCAUGGUAAAGAUUGAGUCUUGCCCGCCUCAUGGUGGUGGAUGUUUGGUAGAUGUCUCUGGGUUGAGUCAAUAUGUUUAUCCCAGAAAUCACAAACGUUUUAAAUCUUUCCAGGCCAAUACUAGUGAAUUCUGACAAGCGAAAAAAAAUCCACAUCUACUCCAUGCUCAACUAGUAACCAUGCUGGGUAACAAGGCCUGUUGGUCGUGCGACUCCAUGGCCCCUCUGAUAAAAAGACGUGUCUUCCCUGUUGGGCUCAGCUCACGGUGCGGCUUCAGAAAACAGUGUAAAAAAAAAACAGGUUAUUUUCAGUAGUUAUUUAUCAACCAUGACAUCAUACACCAAAACCAAUCCCCCCAAAAAAAAAGGUUUGUUCACCAGUGACGGGGAUUAUUCCCGAUAGGCAAAUACCAAUGUUCAUCAAAUGAAAAAAAAAUAAAUAAAUAAUUUAGAACUUCUAUUUGUUGUACUAUUUUUAAAUUAGUUAUUGUUUAUAAUUUAUGCAUUCUUUUUUUUUUGUAACAAUUUUCUUUACAUUUAUUCCAGAAUAAUCUUAAAUUUUCCUUUGACUUUUUCGUAUCUGAUUAUUUCAAUGCAAGUACGAAUAAGUUCCACAAACUUAUGGUGGUGGGAAUGCUGACCUGCAUGAUCUUGUCAAUGGCACCAGGAAGGUGAGGAUAACUACUUCAGUGCUGAUCCAUGCAUCAGUUUGUUUACCAUUCAGGGUAUGGCAUAUGCCAUUUUUGGUCUCAUGAAGUAAGAACACACACACACACACACACACAGACAAGAUUAUUAGCUUUUUCCUAACAGGAAACCAAAAUCACAACUCCAUGGCUUGUAUUCUUUACCUAUAACACGGGCUGCCAGUGUGAAAGGCAAGAAACCCAAAUUUGCCUCUGCUCAGCCCAGGAUUCCAGUGGGAGUUGAGCAUGAUGAGCCCAACGCCACAGGAGGAUGACUCAGUAAAUGAAAGAUGCAGUCCCGCAAAGGAUUUGAUGGUGCUCUGCGAUAGAAUUUUACAGUUAUAUGGGACAUGUAAUGAAAAGGAAAGUGACUUGAAGAUGACAUUGCCUGGUUUUAUGGUUAUUGGUGAGACAGGACUACAGAGAAGCCAGAUCUUUUCCUUCCAAGACUGACAGUCAGUUAUCUGCUUCUGGGCUGUUGUGGUUGGCUAUUAAUGGUCUUUGAUUACUCAUACUGGCUUUACUGUAUUCAUAGAUUUUACUUACAUAACAAUGCUUAGUUUAAGUUGUGUUAUUAUGGCCAUUAAGUAACAGGAGGAAUCCUCAACUUAUGUAUGCAAUAUUUCUGACACCUCUUUCAGUAGCCAAAGUCUACACUUAACUUCUUUCCUCCCCUACAAAUGCUCACAGUACAUUUCUCCAAUUUUAUAUAAGAUCAUUCUUUUGCAUCCACAGUACAAAACCGGUUCAUGAAUAUCCUCCUUUCCCACUCACUGUCUUGUCCUGAUGAUCAAGUCAUCACAGGAUGUUAUGACUUCUGUAACUGGUUUUCUCUCAACAAAUAUAAUGGUAUACAGCCUUUACUAGAAGUUCUUUUAAGAUUGUCUUCAUAUAUCACAUUAUAUAUCUGUAACUUACAUUUCUUGCCCACGCCUCAUUUGCAUAAUGUGCAUAUAGUAUAUAAUAGCCAUUUAUGGUUCUCUCUCUCUCUCUCUCUCUCUCUCUCUCUCUCUCUCUCUCUCUCUCUCUCUCUCUCUCUCUCUCUCUCUCUCUCUCUCUCUCUCUCUCUCUCUCUCUCUCUCUCUCUCUCUCUCUCUCUCAUUGUUUUUCCAUUAGUCUGUCCACUUGUCAGCUCCUUGCUCUUUUCGCAUUGUUAUUGAUGUUUUCAGUAGCAUAGUUGAUGGAUGUUGCUGUUGCCCCUAAGAAAAUGCUAAGCUGUUUGGAACAUGUGGAGAAACAACCAUGAAGGAGGAUGCUUGCAGACACUGGUGCUGAGAGUCAGGAACAGGAAUGUUUGCCCACCAUAUCAACUGGAUCACUGAUCUGGUCGCACUGACUGUGUUCUGUUUACAUCUUGAUCUGGAUUUACCCACAUCUGAGAGAUCCAGAUCAUGAUCUGGGUGAUCUAGGUCCAGAGGUGGAUUAUAGCAGACAACACGUAUUGAAGUUACUGGUGGUGGCCAUAUUGGCAGCUGAGCAGUCUCUACUGGGGACUUACAGAAAUACACUGCAUGAAAACAGCUAUGUCUGAGGAACAAAGUGAAAGGUAAUGGAAUGUUGCUGUAGGCACAAAAUGUGUAUAGUAGUGAUAACAAAUACGAGAAACAUAAGUAGACAGUAAACAAUGAAACUCGUGUAGGUUCAGGGUACGAAAAAGAUUUAGGGGUUAUAGUUAGCUCUGAACUCUGUCUAAGAAAGCAAUGCAUAGAGGCUAGAAACUGGGCAAAUAGGGUAUUAGGAUAAGUAGAAGGCCCGAAGUAAUAUUAAAGUUAUAUUUGGCGCUAGUCAGACCUUAUCUAGACUAUGCUGUGCAGUUCUGAUCCCCACAUUACAGGAAGUAGACAGGUCUAUUAAAAUCAGUACAAAGAAGAAUGACUAAAAGGAUACAGGGGAUGAGGAGUAUUCCUUAUGAGGUGAGAUUGAAGUUGUUAAAUUUACAUUCUUUAGAGAGACGUAGGUUAAAGAGGGGACCUGAUAGAAAUCUUUAAGUGGUAUAAGGGUUAUAACAAGGUGGACAUAAGCAAAAUUCUGAGGAUCAGUAACCAGGACAGAACAAGAAAUAACAAGUUCAAGCUUGGAAAAUUUAGGCUUAAAAAAUAGUGGUAGAUGAAUAGAACAGACUCGGUAAUCAAGUUCUUACUGCUAAGACAUUAGGGAGCUUUAAGAGAAGAUUAGACGGAUUUAUGGAUGUGGAUGAUAGGUGGAAAUAGGUAGGUAUAUUUCAUACAGGGACUGCCAUGUGUAAGCCUUGAUGGCUUCUUGCAGCUUGCUUUAUUUCUUAUGUUCUAAACUUUUAUGUACAGUAAAUCCUCCACAGGUUGGCAUAGUAGGAGCCACUCAGCCUUUGUUGACUUGUCAAAAUACCAGUCUAUAUGAAAUAUCACUAAUAUCCCUUGAAAAUCCCUCUCCUGCAGGCUCAAGGUCUUGUUUCAUUCCCUUCCCUCCUUCUAUGUAAAGCAUCCCCUUGCACUUUGAUCUGAGAAUAUGAUGUGGAGGCGAUAUUUCUGGUUGGGAGGUUUAGUCUUUCGGAUGUACCUCCCCUUAUGCAGUUUUCUUUAUGUAAGAGUUUUUUAUGUGGUCUGAUCUGCCAUCCUCUCAAAAGUUUCCUUGUACUUUUUUAAUUUCUUCCAAAAAACUGUAGAAUAUCAAUUUUCUUUUGUGAAUUGAUAGGAAUUUAGGAUGUCAUAAGGUGUAGGACAGGGGUGUCAAACUCAUGGUCUGUAUGCCAAAUGUGGCCCAUGAGGUGACAAGUGAUUUUUCAACUUGAUACUAUAAUUUUUGUUUUUGAGAAAACUACAAAACUUUUAAGGCAAAACAAAAUGAUGUGGUUAUAUAUGCAUUGGCUGGGAGUGAUAUGGGUUUUGUGGCUGGCAGUGAUGUAUAUUGUGAUAUUUUUUUUCUCUCACUUUUUGUACAUAUAGCUAUCUCAUAUGGGUUGUUAUGUGGCUUGGUGUGAUGUGCUGUUUGAUGUGGUUAUGUGUGAUACAACUGAGAUAAGGGCUGGUGUGUGGAUAUUGUGACAGGUGGUAUGUGGCUGGGUGUUAUGUUUAGUGUGAUGUGGAGGUUGAGAUGUGGGUUAUAAAGUGUGAUGCUGUUUGUGGUGCGGUUUUGUGUGUGACUGAGUGUGUGAUAUGGGUUGUUGUGUUGUUUGAGCUCCUGGCAGAGGUUCAAGCCUGGAACUCCAGGGAACAUGCCGUGCAGCUGGUGUCCUCCCUGAAGGGUACAGUGCUAGAAGUGCUGAUCCAGGUAAAGCUGCUGCAAAGCAUCUCUUACGACUGUGUGGUGGCAGCCUUGGAGCAGAGGUAAAGAUAGACACAAGCACCAGGCUGAGGCAUUCUGGGCCAGGUUGCAAAACAGGAUGAGGGGGCAAGGAGAGCCUCUACAGCAGCUGCCCCAUGAGCUGGAACACUUGGUUAGAAGGGCAUAUCCAGACACACUGGAGAUGGUGACAUCAUUAUUCCUAAGGAACCAGUCCAUUGACACCACUGGAGAUUCAUCACAACUCAAAGUAUAUAUGUUAAGCAGUCCCAUGCUACCAGCGUGCAGGAGGCGCUGACUCGGGCUCUUGAGCUAAAGUCAUUUGUGGCAUUCAGUGGUACCAUGCAAGAAGUAGACAGAAGGCAACAAUUCCGAGCCAGAAAGGACAACAUCUGGGAGCAGUCUUCAGAUAGUGGCUCAGGUGGAUUUAUGAGCAUCUGCUGGAAGUGUGAGUGGCAAAGACACAUCAAGAGGGACUGCCUUAAACUGUACCAGUCACAGUCUUAGUUGCAAAGGAGGCCGUUUGAGUUCCAGCUUUGCUGCUGGGGCUGUGGCCAACUAAGGCACUAUGCCAACUCAUGCCUGCAGCCCAAGCCAAUGCACACACCAUCUUUGCCAGGAAAGUACAGUGGAAUGGGAACUAGGGCUUCUCAGCCAGAGACUCCAAGGCCCCACUCUUGUUAAGCUGCCAGUCCGUGGCCCUGCAAUCAGUGCAAGUUGAGGGUACUGUCAAUGGUGAGUCACACUUCCUUGCUCUGGAUUUAGGGACAGAGAGGACAACACAGAGGCUGUGGCAUGACUGUCCACUGCAUGGAGUUGCAGGGUAGAUCCACAGAAGACAGUCGGGAAAUGGCUGACGCCAAAGACGGCGAAGAUGAGCUUCCUGGGCUUCUGUACAUACUACAGGAAGUUUGUCCAGGAUUUUCCCAUCAUUGUUGCCUCCUCUUCAUCAGCUGACACACAAGGGUGCAUUGUUCUGCUAGGACAACUUGUGCCAGGCAACCACUGACCAACUGAAAGGGGCCCUGGUAGAGGCACCUUUCCUUCAGGCAAUCGUAUAUAUACGAUUGCAUCAAUGUAUCCGUAGCGUCGGCGAUCAUACCCGUAAUCAAGAAUUUUCGCGCCUCAAUUUUGAGCUCCAAGCGCAAUUUCUCGAGUCAGAUGGUGUGAGUGGAAAAGUCUGGCAUGUUUCCACAUGUAGUGUUGUCACUAGCUCUGGAAAUUUAGCGGUAACUAAGCUAUUUUCCCUUUCUCCGGGGCAACACUUGGCAACCCCAACGACCCGCCGGGUGGAAAGCAUCUGCCGGGUAGAAAGCACCAUGGUAAGUGUGAAGAGACAUCCUGAUAAGAGCAAAGGAUCUCAGAUCAUAAUUCACCAUGGAGCAGGACAGAACAUAUGUAUUUAGCAGUGCUUCUGAGUUGGAAGACAGUGACAGAGAAUAUUUAGAAGAAGAAACUGAAGAAAGCGAAGACAUUAGUGAGGACUCGGAAAAUGAUUUACAGGAUCCACCUGUUUUAUCAGAACAGAGAGAUGAUACCUCAGAUCCACCUGUUUUAUCAGAACAGAGAGAUGAUACCUAUCAUUCUUUCAUUAUCUUCGAUUUUAUAAUAAAA